AAUGAACGCUGGCGGCGUGCCUAAUACAUGCAAGUCGAGCGGACAGAGGAGGAGCUUGCUCCUCUGAAGUUGGCGACGGACGGGUGAGUAACAGGUAGAUAACCGGCAGAUGAGGCUGGGGUAAGGUCGGGGGACCGGAGAUAAUACCGGAUAAUAUGUUGAAAGGGAUGGUUCAAUGGAGCACGACGGUUUUGCUGAGACUAAUAGAUGGAUCCAAGUCGCAUUAGCUAGUUGGUAAGGUAACGGCUUACCAAGGCAACGAUGCGUAGCUGACCUGAGAGGAUGAUCGGCCACACUGGAACUGAGACACGGUCCAGACUCCUACGGGAGGCAGCAGUAGGGAAUAUUCCGCAAUGGGCGAAAGCCUGAUGCAGCAACGCCGCGUGAGUGAUGAAGGUCUUCGGAUCGUAAAACACUGUUAUUAGGGAAGAACAAAAGUGUAAUAAUCUAUGCAUGUCUUGACGGUACCUAAACAGAAAGCCACGGCUAACUACGUG
rnacentral:rRNA from 1 species